rnacentral:rRNA from 1 species
CAGCCGCCGCGGGAACACGUAGGUGGCAAGCGUUGUCCGGAAUUAUUGGGCGUAAAGGGCUCGCAGGCGGUUUCUUAAGUCUGAUGUGAAAGCCCCCGGCUCAACCGGGGAGGGUCAUUGGAAACUGGGAAACUUGAGUGCAGAAGAGGAGAGUGGAAUUCCACGUGUAGCGGUGAAAUGCGUAGAGAUGUGGAGGAACACCAGUGGCGAAGGCGACUCUCUGGUCUGUAACUGACGCUGAGGAGCGAAAGCGUGGGGAGCGAACAGGAUUAGAUACCCGGGUAGUCCCUGUCUCUUAUAC